rnacentral:rRNA from 1 species
CAAUAGCGUAUAUUAAAGUUGUUGCAGUUAAAAAGCUCGUAGUUGGAUUUCUGGACGGAGCAGCCGGUCCGCCGCUGUGCGGUGUGUACUCGUGCUUGACUCGGUUCAUCCUUGUGGGGAAGCGCAUUUCGGCAUUCAGUUGUCGAGGCGGGGAACCACAUCAUUUACUGUGAAAAAAUUAGAGUGUUUAAAGCAGGCAUUUUGCUGUGAAUACAUUAGCAUGGAAUAAUAACAUAGGACUUUGAUUCUAUUUUGUUGGUUGGAGAUCAAGGUAAUGAUUAAUAGGGAUAGUUGGGGGUAUUCAUAUUUAAUUGUCAGAGGUGAAAUUCUUGGAUUUAUGAAAGAUGAACUCAUGCGAAAGCAUUUACCAAGGAUGUUUNCAUUA